rnacentral:rRNA from 1 species
AUUGAACGCUGGCGGCAUGCUUUACACAUGCAAGUCGAACGGUAACAGGCCUUCGGGUGCUGACGAGUGGCGAACGGGUGAGUAAUGCAUCGGAACGUGCCCAGAGGUGGGGGAUAACGCAGCGAAAGCUGUGCUAAUACCGCAUGUGAUCUGAGGAUGAAAGCGGGGGACCAGGCAGCAAUGUUUGGCCUCGCGCCUUUGGAGCGGCCGAUGUCAGAUUAGGUAGUUGGUGGGGUAAAGGCCUACCAAGCCGACGAUCUGUAGCUGGUCUGAGAGGACGACCAGCCACACUGGGACUGAGACACGGCCCAGACUCCUACGGGAGGCAGCAGUGGGGAAUUUUGGACAAUGGGCGCAAGCCUGAUCCAGCAAUGCCGCGUGCGGGAAGAAGGCCUUCGGGUUGUAAACCGCUUUUGUACGGAACGAAAAGGAUCUGGCUAAUACCUGGGGCUGAUGACGGUACCGAAAGAAUAAGCACCGGCUAACUACGUG